CGUCUACCGUAAUUGUUACAGGCUUGAUUGACAGAGACUGGAAACUGACAGAUCGAUAGUUAGUGGAUGAGAAUACAACCUCAAUUUGUCUCCCAAGGCACCCUGGAAGUGGUACCACCAAUUGAAAGUUGGACGCUGCUGUCGAUACUUGACUGGGCUGGUGGAUGGUGUACCUGAUACGGGAAGGAGCUGCAUGACACUCGGAGUGUUUUGGAACCUGUAAGCUUACCCCACAUGGUGAGAUCACAAAAAGCCAAAUUCAUCAGAUAAGCAUCAUGAGAGUUCGUCAGGUAUGACUCUAUCCCUCUGAAUUUGCGUCCGUUCUAUAGACACGACUUGACUGGAGGACACACACUGAGGCACUUGUUUGUUUAAAACCCCUGAGCCUUUUAGCCAUCCAUUUUCAUUAAUUUUAUCCUUUGCUAACCCUGUUGAGCCUGUAUCCAUUUGUUUGUUUUCAACCACAUGUAUAAACCAUUGGCCAAACACUCCUUACCCUUGUUUAGUACGAAUGUGGUGUUUCUUGAAAGUGUGCAAUAAUUCAAGUUUGGGGUGAUACGUGUAAAAGAAAGGCGAAGAAAGAAAGAAAAAAAUGAAAAAUGAAAA
rnacentral:lncRNA from 1 species